rnacentral:rRNA from 1 species
GCGAGCCCCCCUCUCCUGGGCGCUCUGCAUUCGAAGGCUUGACCUCAAAUCAGGUAGGACUACCCGCUGAACUUAA